rnacentral:rRNA from 1 species
CAUGCGAACGAUUAGCUAGUUGGUAGGGUAACGGCCUACCAAGGCUACGAUCGUUAGGGGAACUGAGAGGUUCGGUCCCCCACACUGGCACUGAGAUACGGGCCAGACUCCUACGGGAGGCAGCAGUAGGGAAUAUUGGUCAAUGGAGGGAACUCUGAACCAGCCAUGCCGCGUGCAGGAAGAAGGCCCUCUGGGUUGUAAACUGCUUUUGACAGGGAACAAGAAGGCCAUGCGUGGUUUAGUGAGUGUACCUGUAGAAUAAGCCACGGCUAACUACGUGCCAGCAGCCGCGGUAAUACGUAGGUGGCAAGCGUUGUCCGGAUUUAUUGGGUUUAAAGGGUGCGUAGGCGGCUUUUUAAGUCAGUUGUGAAAUAUCUCGGCUUAACCGAGAGGGUGCGAUUGAUACUGGGAAGCUUGAGUUACAGCGAGGUCAGCGGAAUUGAUGGUGUAGCGGUGAAAUGCAUAGAUAUCAUCAAGAACACCGAUAGCGAAGGC